rnacentral:rRNA from 1 species
UGUUCGACCUUGCACGCAGACGACCCGUGAACAUGUAACCACAACGGGGUGACCGUGAUAAGGGCCUCGGUCCUUAUCCCCUAACCCUUCCCGACGUGAGUUCGUGGUGUCUUUUUUGGGGCAUCAUGGAUUCCGUUGGACCAUAACAAAACCCCGGCACGGUAUGUGCCAAGGAAAACAAAAAUGAGAAGGACACUACCUGUUUCGCCCCGUUUGCGGUGUGCGUACAGGUCGUGGCCUCCUUGGAAUCACAAACGACUCUCGGCAACGGAUAUCUCGGCUCACGCAUCGAUGAAGAACGUAGCAAAAUGCGAUACUUGGUGUGAAUUGCAGAAUCCCGUGAACCAUCGAGUUUUUGAACGCAAGUUGCGCCCGAAGCCAUCCGGCUGAGGGCACGCCUGCCUGGGCGUCACGCAUCGCGUCGCUCCCCACCAUACCUCCCCAACGGGUUGGCAUGGUGUUGGGGGCGGAUAAUGGCCUCCCGUGCUUGUGUUUCGGUUGGCCUAAAUAAGAGUUCCCUUCGGCGGACACACGACUAGUGGUGGUUGAAUAGACCCUCGUCUUUUGUUGCGUGUCGUGAGCUGUAAGGGUAGCCCUCAUCAAAGACCCCAUUGUAUCGUCUUCGGAUGAUGCUUCGACCGCGACCCCAGGUCAGGCGGGACUACCCGCUGAGUUUAAGCAUAUCAAA